rnacentral:ncRNA from 1 species
GUUCGUUUCCUCGCUUGCACCCGUCCGGGUGGGCUAUGACCAUAAGGUAAGGGAAACAUCCAUUCACAAGAGGC